rnacentral:misc_RNA from 1 species
GUGAAUCAUCAAAUUUUUGAACGCAAAUUGCACUCUCUUCGGAGAGUAUGCCUGUUUGAGGGUCAGCCUAAAAAAAUCCACAUUAUUGCCGUUAAGCGGUAAACUUCGUUGGAAAUUGGGUCAUCUUAAACCUUUGGGUUUAAGCGGCCUAAAAUUUUCUUUACGAUUUCAAGAAAGUUUCUUAGGUUUUAUUUUUUUUUACGUUUAAGGUAUUGAU